CAGAGAGCAGCCACCCCGCCGAGGGGGAGCGAAUCUACAAAACCGGUCUCAGUUCGGAUCGCAGUCUGCAACUCGACUGCGUGAAGCUGGAAUCGCUAGUAAUCGCGCAUCAGCCAUGGCGCGGUGAAUACGUUCCCGGGCCUUGUACACACCGCCCGUCAAGCCAUGGAAGUCUGGGGGACCUGAAGACGGUAACCGCAAGGAGCCGUUAAGGGUAAAACAGGUAACUAGGGCUAAGUCGUAACAAGGUACC
rnacentral:rRNA from 1 species